rnacentral:sRNA from 1 species
AGGAGAAGGGUUUUUGCUGGCUAACAGUUUUGAUGAUUUUUUUUCCUGUGGUUUGUUUGUUUUUUACCUCGCUGCUUUCACUUGGGGUAAACGAGUAGACAAGGGCAGGUGGUGGUUGGUAGAAAAGACACAUUCAUGUCAGAGCAAAAGCCCCAAAGACUAGAAUUCUACAUACCCUGUGCAUCAUGCCCUGUGCCCUCUACCCCAUGUCUUUUCUUGCCCCCUUUAGUAACAUGGCAUGGGGAUGAAGCCUUGUACUCUUGGGUUUGGGUGGGGUACUCUAUACCAAGUCCUAUCACAUUUCAAGAGUGGGUGAGGUCCUGAAUGAAGGCUGCACAUGGAGUCAAUGGAUGUGCCAGGCUCUAGAGGAUCUAGAGAUGAGAGUCAGAGUUAAUGGGCAAAGGCUAAAUUAGAACUUGACUGUUCUGUAGAUGAGAUGUGAGCUAAACAUGAUGUGAACAUACAGAAAUGAAAUAUAUUAUUUUACCUAUUGUCACUAGAAUACUGCUAUACUCUUGUAAUUGAUUUAGCCUCUAUUUUUAACUAUUUGUUUUAAAACAAGACCCUUACUCACUAUGAAUCCAUUAUAGAAAGUAUUAGCUCAGUGAUUAUUUUCCCUACUAUACAUUUUUUGUUCUGUGUAUAUGCAUACAUGUUCACAUUCAUGGAUACCUGAGGUUGAUAUCAGCUGCUUUUUUCAAUGACUCUCCACCUUAUUUUUGAGAUAGGGUCUUUCACAGAUCAGUUAUGUUACCUGGACAGUAAGUCCCUGGGUCCUCCUGUCCCUGCCUUCUCAGUGCUGGGAUUGCAGGCACAUACACAAUUCAUGGGAUCUGAGGAUCAAACUUGAAUCCUUGUGCUUGUGUGGACAUCAGUCAAUGACCAGGCCAUCUCCCUAGAUCUCUGCUGCAUUUAGUGGAACCUGUACCCCUUCCACUGUAUUUAUUUUUAUAUCCUAAACAUUAUUAUUGGCUCAUAAUAUAUGUUCAGUAAAGAUUUAUUGAGUGACUAUAUAAAAUGAACACCAUUAUCUAAGAGAACAGGACAUGGAAGCUACUUAACUGUUAAUACUUAGAAUACUGUAGGUGAAGCACAUAUAUAUGGCCGCAUGGUGACUAAGCACUGUGAUGCUUUCGUUCACUUUUUAGGUGACACGCGAGCUCUGAGAUUUGGCUUGUCUAAGCAUUGGAACCAGGGUUUUAAUUCUUAAUGUUCUAGAUGUCUUUGCAAGACAAGGCGUUGCUAGGUCAUGAUGGAAAGCAAUCAUACUCUGGAUGGGAGCUGGCUCAGUGGGAAAAGUUUUUGCUGCACAAGCAUGAGGACUCCGGCUCCAUCCAUAAGACUUGCACAACAGGAAGGUAUGGUGGCACAUGCUUAUCAUCCCAGCACCCAGAGACAGAGACAAGAAGAUCCCUGGAGCCCUCCGGUAUGUCAGCCCAGUCUAAUUGGUGAACCUUAGCCCAGUGACAGACCUCGUCUCAAGAAAACAGAACAGUGCAUGGUACUGAAGGAUGUGUUCUGACUUCCACAUACACUGGCAUCUAUGUAGAGUUGCAUACUCUGCACAUACACGCACCACAGAGAUUAUACAUACAUUAUAUACAUGCAUCACAGAUACACAUCAUACCACACACUCAUACACACAUACACACUCACAUACACAUACCUCCCUACACACAUAUACCACACACAUGCAUACCAUGUCCAUUUACUACUCUCCCACCCCACACAAGAGUUAUAUUCUGUGAAGUCUUACUAUGUAGCCCAGCUUGGUCUUUCUACCUUUCUACCUCUGAAUGUUAACAAAAUAUAUAGGAUCGAGCCCCUAGCCCCAGCAUGAAAGUGUUUUCCUUUUAUUUUGGUGUCUAACUUUUGCGGCAGGUAUACUUCUAGACUCUGAGAAGUGGGGGAUGGAGAAGCACAGACUAUGAACUUGUUACUCAAAGGUAACAUAAUUUCUUUAUCUUAUCCUUAUGUCUGACACCACUGUCUACAUAAUCCAGAGAAGCAGAGCAGAAGUUAAGCCAGGUUUCCUCAGCCUAAAGCAGGAUGGAUUAGAGGCUGUAGCAAUAAAGUCAAAACACAAACAUGUUUUCACAUACGUGUUCAAUUACACUUAAGGCCCUGCUUAUUUCCCUUAGAACUUCUCAGUGUCUGUCCAAUAAGAAGGGGAGGUUGAUUUGGGAUAUGAAUUUUAUGAAUAUAUAACAAAGCUGACUGCUGGGAAGUACCAUUUUAAUAUAGAUAAUUUAUCUGUGAACCCAAUGUCGUUUUUAUUGAAGUCAUUUUUCUCCUUAUUGAGUUGAGGAUGAAUGUUCUCUACUGAAUUCUGUCAUCAUGGCCAGACCAAGUUCAUUAACAGGACGACACACCAUUAACCAACCACACAGAGUUGUGGGAGAUUGAUGCCACAGCCCUUCGGCCACCUGCUUCUCUGCCACCUGAAAGGAUGAGUUCUCAGAACUGCCACCCGGAAGGAGUGACUUUGGCAGGGACUAUGAGAGAAGAAAAUGAUGUUGUCUCUGGCUUUGGGACCUAACCAUUGCCCCAUAACUGCUGUUUUAUGUUCCUUAAAUUCAGAAAAGCAGGUGUCCUUCAGGCCUGGAGAGCCAGUCUACACUUUGCAAGUCUAGGCUAAAAUGAAGUUGUAAGUUAAAGCAAGCUAUACAAAGUGGAGGAAACAGAUUAACAUGUCUGAUUAUUCAUUACACCUUUGUGGAGCCCCUGCCAGACACUUGCUGUUUCCAGAGACUGAAUAGAGUUGGCUGUCUGGUGAAGGGGCUGUGUUGCCUCAGGCUCUGCCCUACAGCUGUUUGAUUUCCCUGUGAUUUUGAAACUAUCUCUCUAGAACUAUCAGGUAGGCAGGGACAUGGAUGCCCCAAGGACAUCAGUGUUCCGGGCUCACUUCUCUGCACACUGUCUCCUUUGUGAUCUGAAUUGGAUUGACUUGUGUUCAGAUCAUGUGUAUCUUUGGAAAGGGAGAACUUUUGAUGCAGGCUCCUGUGUACAGGUCACUAAAGAUAAAUGAGGACUUGUCUUAUUUCUAACUAGAAAAAUAUGUCUUCAUAUAUGCACCUAAAAGAACAUGUAAAACAAACCCCCCCCCACACACACACACAACACACAGGCAUGCACGCAUGCACCAAAGAGACAUGUUCUCCAUCCUCUCUUAACAAAUGGCAAAAUUCUAGUAGAUCUGGAGCUUUUUCUUACAUUAAAAUUUAAAUACAGACACUAAGAUGUUGAAUUGUUAUUUGAGACAGGGUUUCACUAUGUAGUUCUGACUGGUAUGGUACUUGAUAUAUUAGUCCAGGAUAGCCUUAAAUAGAGAUCUAUUUGACUCUGCCUCUUGAGUGUUGGGAUUAAGCGUGUAAGCUACAAUACUUGGAGGAUAUUGACUUUUUGAUACAGAUGUGUUUUUCUGGUUCUCUCACACAAUUCUUGCCCAUUCUUCCUUUCCACAUUACUCUGAGUGUGCCUUCUACCUGUCUGAAGCACAUAUCCACUGGCUUGGCCCGGUCUUUGCUUAGGUCCCUCAGGUCUAUUAUGCCACCUGCAGAUCUGGCAGAAAGCACCUUUAAUGCCUCACCAGGAGCACAGCUACUCAGUAGCUACAUAAAUAUCUCUAGUUCUGCUGUGUCAUUCUAUGAUGCCUUCCAGGGCGUCCUGGCUGGUUCUAUAUCGACCUUUUCUGGUGGCCCUUUCUUCUGGUCUUAAUCUGAUUCUUUCUUCUGACUCCUAUAAAAAGGACCUUCCACGGUCCCCCUUUUACAUAUCUCUGAAUCAAUCCUGAGAGGUAGGUGGGCAAGAUCUGGCAGUGGUGGUGAUAGGUUAUAGCUAUUGUCCUCCAGACUGAGGCCCCAGAGCUAAAGUACUCUUCAAUUUGUCCAAGAUUGAACAGCCAGGAAUGAACAUAACUGUAACUCUGGUCUUCGUUCUACACUCAACCUAGCAGAUUGUUGUCUUUCACAUGUAAGAAAGUUGUAAAGCUGUGGUUGUCUGAACAAUAUUGCUGAGAGUGACCCCUGAGGAUCCACCCCCUAAGGGACCACUGGUAAUGAAUGCACGUUGGGGCAUGAUGUGUCCUUUUCAUCAGUGGUGUAGCCAAUGAAGUGCUCUUGCUCCAGCAAAUGACCUUUCACUGAUCCCAUGCAAGAAACUUUAAAUAAACUCCAUGGGUCACACACCAAAAAGAAACUCCAGAAAACCAGAAACUCCAUGGGUUUCUGGCUCCUGUUGAGGGAGAAAGGAAAACGUGUCCCUUGUUUCCCUUUGUGUUGGUUUCUUAGUGGGUUUGCUUUAUAGGGUCUUAUUGGAUACACAUUAUGAAGAUAUAUUCUUCCUAGAUAAAGGCAAGAUAAAUCCCCAUUUAUCUCUAGCAACCAUGUGCAGGAGCCUGCAUCCAAAGAAACAUGUGAUCUGAACACAAGUCAAUCCAAUUCAGAUCACAAAGGAGACUGUGUGCAGAGAAGUGAGCCUGGAACACCGAUGUCCUCGAGGCAUCCACGUUCCUGCCUAGCUGAUAGUCAGAGUAGGAGAUGGAUUUAUUGAGAAGAAGAGUUUAGAGAGGGAUGGAAGCAGAUGAAAUAUGGAGAUGUGUGCCUGAGUGUGUGUGUGUGUGUGUGUGUGUGUGUGUGUGUGUAAAAUAACGUAAAUUUAUUAACUAGUUGUAUGAAACUGUCAAACAGCAAAAUGUUAGAAAUAAAUCUUUGUUGUUCCUCUUGCAGACCAUUUGCAUCAUUUGACCUUCACAAACUCAAUGUCAACCUGUCUCGGGUGAGACUCAAGCAACAGGAAGAACACGAAAUUCCUCCACCUGAUAAAGAACAGUUAACAUCAGAGCAUGGAGGAAAUCCCUCAGUCACCUUGAAUCCUGACUCUUCCACAAUCUAUAGACAAGUAACAGAAGACUGUUCUGCAAGCUGAGAAGUCACCCAGCAGUGAGGAGAGGCUUUAUUCUAAACGGACCUGGUGUUCUACAGAACCACAUGAGUCUAGGUAUGCAUGCUACACCAGGCUGCAUUUUAUUCUUUUAAAUAUUCUAAGGGCAGAAGCUAGUUUGAGGGUGAGAGGCCAGGGGCUGGGUUUUAUAAACCCAGCUUUAUUUAUUUUCAAUUAUGAACCCUUCCAGGUUGGAAAUAUCUCACAGAUGAUAAAGUGAGCAACAGAAAAUCACAGAAGUUUCUCAAAGUUACACAACUAACAGCAAUAAUCAGAGGAAGGACUGAACUUGUGUCUAAACUCACAACGUUUGUUAUCCUGAUUCUCUCAAGUCAAAUAAUGAGCAAGUGGUCAGGACUGAUGGCAAAGCUAUUUGGGGCUCUUCUUCUGGGGUCUUCGGUUAUUUUCUGUAUGAUCUCAUAUAAAUAUUUAAUAUAGCUGUGCCUGAAAGUCACAUAGAAAAAUCAGAUGUCCUCUUACAGUGAAAUGAACAUUAACAGGACAAUUAAUGACAAACCUCUGCUGUGUCCUAUGACAUAGGUACAAGAUGAGCAAAGGCCAGGUAGGAUUAUUUUAAUAUGACUUUCUUCAUAAAGAGCAAAUACUAUUUGAAAAUGGUUCUUGGAUUCUCAAAUACCACAGUACAUCUAAGCAGAACUUGAUUCUUUGAAGACACAGAAAGAAGUGUCUGAUCAAUGCUACUUUAAAAAGUUUGGAUGAAAAUGAUUCUAUAUUGGGGCAGCCCAUCUGACCCACUGGCCUCUGUCUGCUUUCUACCAGAAGAAAAAAUUUCAGGCUGAAUUGUAAGGUGGUUGCUUUUCUUACUGUCUUCUGAUUCAAGAACUUCAGAUGUAAAUUUUAGAUAUGUGUGUUUCAUUUGGAAUAUCCGUAGAGGUCAAAAAAUAAGGGUCCAAGGAGAAAGGGAGAUUGAAUGUGGUACUAUUAAGGGGUAUAAUGGGCAUCUCCAUAAAAUCUCUCUUUUCAGGGAUCAGGGAAGAAGAAGUGAAAGAAUGUAAGAUCCAGAGGUGAUGGAGGACUUUAUGGAAUCAAGGCCUUCUGGAUACAUAUAAAAACUCUGGACACAUAUAUAAACUCAGUAAGUCUGAGGCAGCAUGCAUAGGACCUGCAUGGGUCUGCAGAUUGGGUCCUAGAGUUGAAAGGAGACGUGGGCGCAUGCCCCUAUCCCUAACUCAGAAGCUAUCUCCAACUGAUAACCACUUGCAAAUGAAAAGCCAGUUUUCUCCAAGGGACUCUCACUAGGCAACAAAUCGCUUAUAAGGUUAGGGCCCAUGUCCAGCAGUCAAAGGUCAACACUAAAUGACCUAAAUAAAUGCUAUUGUAUUAUAUUAUUGUAUUGUAUUACUACUCUUUGAACUCCUGUUUGUUUUCUAAGGGAAGUCAGAAAGGGGUUAAUCUGGAUGGGAGGGGAUGUAGGGAGGAACUGGGGGAGGGGAAACUGUAAUCAGAACAUAUUGUAUGAAAAAGAAUCUAUUUUCAAUUUAAAAGUGGGGGCAGUAAUGGACCAAAAAUUAUAAAUGGGGUGGGAGGUGGGAAGAUAUGCAAAAAAACUAAAACUAAUGAAAACUAAUUAAUACUGCAUGUCUUUUGAGAAAGUAGAAAAUCUGCUACUGUAGACAUUUAUCAAAAUAUAUACAUACAGAUAUAUACAAAGAGUUUAAAUAGAGCUACUUUAUAAUGGGGUGAUAAUGUUCUGUUAGACACUUCAGGCUAACAAGUGAAAGGCCCAGGUUCAGAAAUGGGCUACUUCUUUAGAGCUAUGGCCAGUGAGGUUCCAUAGAUCCACAAAUAGUCUUUUGCCAGUGCUCUAGGUUGCCCUCCAGAACUUGAUAAGACCUUAUUGAUAAACACACCUCAUACCUGAGACAAAGAAUAUGGAGAAAUCAAGUUGGUUUCAUCCCUACUGGUUAGUUUCCUUGGUACUGCCAGGCAGAGAAAGGUUAUCAUCAAUAUUACUCAGUCAUGCAGCUUGUGAGUCAUAAUAAUGGCCCAUUUGCUAAGACAUGGCCACUGGUGCAUUAGUGGCACAAAAGUUAUGGGAGCAAACAAUCACUCUCUGAUUGAAUUUAAGGCCCAUUCCAUAAGUUAAAACUGAUACCUGGCAUUAUUAUCUGGGCCAAGAACUUGAUAAUGGAACUACUAGCAUUAUGGAUAUAAGUAUAACUUACUAAAUGACUUCUUUUUAUACCCAUAGAUUAGUACACCUCUCAAACUUCAACAGAGAAUCUUCUUUUUGCAGGAGAUAGCAACUAAUACAGGUACCUAUAAUUGGUCAAGGCACAGAGAAUGAGAAACGGUGGAUUGCUUAUUCCUAAAGGGGUCAUCAUACCAUAUCCCUCUUCCUAGGGCUCAGGGAUCAUUGUAAAAGAAGGGGCAGAAGAACUGUAAGAGCCAGAUUUGGUCGAUGACUCUUAGGAAAGCGUUUUGCAGACACAAGAGGGAGGUUGCAGAUGAGAACUUUCACCAGUUUUGACAACAUGCCCAAGUCCUACCCAAGCCAGACAAAAUCUCAGCAUGGAUGUAAGGGGUGGUCACAAAGCCCUACCCCUAGCUAAGCUCUAUGGGCAAUUGGCAGCUUCUGGAAGAGUCAGUUUUCUUUGAGGAUUGGCCCCUGAUAGUUUGGCAGGUUUCAGUGAAGGGCUCCAGACCUUUUGUGUUUGGGUAUCACAAAUUGGACUUGGUGGUUUUAAAAAUUAAGAAAAACAAGUACAAAGUUGGAUAAGUAGGGAGGAGGAUGAAUCUGGAAGGAGCUGAGGAAGUGAGGAAAAUGGUAUUCUCACAGAAUUAAUUUUUUUAAAGGGAAAGGAAAACUUUAUAUGAGUUGAGGUCAUCCUAUGUACAAGAUGCUGUUACUCAAGGGCUUUCAUUGCAUAUCCAGUGGGGCUUUUGUUUUUAACCCGGUCUUGCUAGUUCAUUUUGGUUGGUCUGAAAUUGCAUCAGACUUGGAGCAAUCCUCCUGCUUCUGCUUCUCUAGCUCGGGGGUUACAGGCCGGUGUCACCCAAGAGGAUUUUUGAAGUAAAUAUUUUGACACAACAUGUGAGAAGUGCCACAGUAAGGUGCAGAUUAAACACUGUGGGUGUACGGAGGCGGUGAAGAUUGUUUCAAGUAGGAAGACUUGGAAACAUUCAGGGGAAAGGUAGCAUUUGAUUGGUGCCUUAACACAAGAACAAAUUUAGACAUGUGGAGAUAACGAGAGAAGCAAUCUAGAAGGAAGCAAAACCAGGGAAAAUAUAAAAGAAAUUUAGUGGCGUUCAGUAAGCUAGAGGCUCUUGUGAAAGACAUUCAAAUGAACACAAAGGAAGAAGUUGGCUGGAAUCAGGGCCUGGGGAUCUCAAUAGCUGACUUGAAAGUGUGUGUGAGUUUUAUGCACAGAUUGAGAGGGACAACUGAAUAUGUUUAAGAAUGAUUGUAUCUGACCUGCCCUUUGACAAAUGACUCCAACCCUUUCCAAAAUGGCUGGGGUGGGGGGAUGCAGAGGGAACAUGAGGUGUUGGUUUAGGUAGGCACUGUGGAAUCCACAGCAGGUCUGAGCUAAGGUGCUGAAGGUGAAGAGGACAUGACAGUGGACAACUGGGGAAGAAUCAGCAGACUUCCAUCCCUGUUCAGACGUGUUUCCAGAAAUAAGGAGGUCCAUGGUUAGAAGGGAGCUGAGACCUUCAGAAGAAGCAGAAACAGAGGGUGUGGGGCUUCAGGAAUCACGGGAAAUAGUAAGUUUGAAGUUCAUUUUACACAGCCCCAAGCAGGUAUGUCCAGGAAGAGGGAAUGGUCCAGCAGAAGUGGGAAAGAAUCACCGUGCACAGUAUCUGAUGGAAGCCAUGAGCUUUUUUCUACAAUGAUUGGCUAGAGGGCCCCCAGCUUUACCCCGAGAAUUUAUUGGUGAGUUCUUCAUUCAUUCUUUCUUUGUAGACACUGCUUCAUUUGCAUUCAGUGACAUGCAUCUUUGUGUGGGGGACUCUGAGCUUUGUCUCCCUCUACAAGGUCACUGAUAGAUGCGGGAAACUAAAAUUUCUGUCACUCAAGUAGCUCUUCCUCAGGUAAAGAAGCAACCAGUGUUCAGAAGAGACCCCAUUCAGAGAGUGGGUGGUGUUCCUAGGAAGGGGUUGCUACUAGUAUUAUAUUUUAUAUAAAAUUUUAUAUUUUAUAUUUGCUCCACAGAGAUGAGGGAAAAAGUGAAAUUUUAAUAUAUUAAGAAUGUAUUGAGGGAAUAUAUUGAGGGAAUGUAAUUUUCUUUCUGAUUAUAUAGGUUUCUCUGUGUGUGUGUGUGUGUGUUUGUGUUUUAAUGUGUGUAUAUGUAUGUAUGAAAGCCAGAAGUCAGUCUUGGAUGUUGUUCACUUGGUUUAUUGAGAUGGGGUCUCUCACUAGAACCUGGACACAUCAAUUAGGCUAGGCUGACUAGCCAGCAAACCCAGGGUAUCUGCUUGUUUCCACCUCCCCAUCACUGGGAUUAUAAUCGCUUGCCAGCAGACCUGCCUCUUUAGAUGAGUGCUGAGGACUGAAGGAAGACCCUUGGAGUCUGCAUGACAAACACUUUAUUGAGCUCUCUCCCAGCUUCUUGAUUGCACAGCUUUUAAGUCUCCAAUACGCAGUAGCAUUGCAGGGCAAGGAAGUAGGACAUGCUUCCACUGCUUGACUUCAGCAAGACAUAAUUCAUCAAAAUGAAAGGGCUGUCUGCAUGAGAAGUAAUCCCUGACAGUUCCCUUCUUCGGAAAACUUGAAUGAAAUUAUCUCUGGCUCCAUCACUACUUCUGAGGCGCCAUAUCCAUGUCUACUUUACCAAGUCCGCAAACAAUUAGCUUUAUUUAUUGUCCCUAAUUUAAAGUACAAAAUGAGUCAUAUUAAAGUGAACAAACCACACGCAGUGAGAGCUGUGGAGGUGGAAUACUCCCCCACUUCCCUAAAAACUGUAAUGUCUACAGUUAUGAAACUAUAGCUUUUCAUUAACGAGUUGUGCUAUUACACAAUGGAUACACUGAUUAUCAUCCAUUAGUAGGUAACGAGCAACAACCGAAGCAUUGAAAAAUUGUAAUUAUGGUUAUUUAUCAUUGGCGAUAUAGUGAUAUUUAUGAUUCUAAUAAGUUAAAAGAUCAUUUUACACACAGAGGCAUAGAGACCCGUGAUGAAUGAUUGGGGCAUGUGAGUGGCUAUCUGACCACAGGAUUUUUUUAGUUCUCUGACUUGACUGUGAACCCGGAAGAGAGAAUGAAUAUGACUCAGUAAACAGGGCAAGAACCAGCUGCGUGUGAUGGGAUGCUGGUGUGGAGAGUUUCAGGCACCAUGCAUGCCUUAUAAUUUAUAGGAACCUGUGGUGUGGACUUUCUCAAGAGCAGCUGCAUGGAAAGCUGUCUCUUGUUUUCCCCUCUGCCUGGUGUGAACUUAGCAUGAGAAGACAUACAUAAGAUACACUGUGGUUGCUGCAAAGCCGCAAUCCCCAGGCUGUUGGCAUCUUGUGUGAGUAACUUUAUCAGCGGAGAAGGGCAAAGAACAAACGAGCAUUUUGUAUCAGAAUUGUGCUGGUGUUUUGCUCUCACGGGCAAGCAGACUGGUUAAGUUUCCUCCUCAGGCAAGGGUAUAUGUCCUGCUGUAUCCCAAACUGACAAAUCAUAUACCAAAAGAGAGAUUAAUUUUAUUUUUAAUCACAACAACCUAUGAGCUUCAGUACACGUUGGCUGGGGCAGAGAAAAAGAAAGCAUCAAUAUUUUCACUGUGCAGUCACUACUGCUAUACCCUCCAUGGUCUGUCUCCAUAUUUCCUAUUUAGCUCAGGCCCAAGAGACCAAGAUUUUUCCACUUUGAAGCCUUCAUCUUCAAAUACUUCAAGGCUCUGGAGCCUUAGAGGCACAGACACUGAUUCAUUACUCUUCUGCCUUACGCACUACCCUUCGCGAUUUCACAUCAGAAUGGCACCAGCUGUCAUAUUUUGAGGGAGGCUAGAGUUGGGAUUUACCAAGUCUAUCUUGGUUUAGCCUGGGUGUCUAAAGUUUGUGUUGUCUGUUUGUCCUAGCUAGAUACCCUCUGGGCCUCCAUUCCUGUGCUUGUUAAGGAGUCAAAGGCAGAAGGGCACACCCCACAGUCAGGCAGAGCCUUGUGUUUUGAACCUCUGCAUCGAGACAUGUACUUUUCCUGAAGCAGCAUACUCCCCCUGCUUAUUAAAAAGUCUAAACCACCACAACCAAGUCUCACCUUCUGAUGAUGCAGAAUAAGUCAUUGUCUCAAUUAAACUGCUUCCAGCACUGGUGAUAUGCUGUAGUGAAUGACAGUUAAAUAGUCUAUAUUUUCAUUUUACCUAAAAACAUCUUCUAGGGAGGCCGGAAGCUGUGCAUGCCAGGAACCUGGGAUAGACUUGCUUUUUAUUUCCAUAUCAGUUUCAUUAGGUUGAGUAUACUAGGAAGGCUUUAGCAUUAAGUCAUAACAGUUAAUUCUUAAUAAAACCCAAAUUAGUAAAGUCAAGGGGGAUGAAUUAUAUUUAAGUGGCUUUGACUUAAACUUUUAAUUUGACUUGCAGCAGCUGGAUUUCGAGUUUCUCUUUCAUAUUCUGUCUUCCCUGGUUUCAGUCACAUCUAUCCACAUAUUAUCAUCUGUUACCCAUAUAUCAUCUGCCAACCAUCCAUCCAUCAUCCAUCACCUAGUCAUCAAUGCAGCAUGCAAGCAAGUAUUCCACUAUCUAUCCAUCUAUCCAGCCAGCAUCUAUGCAUCCAACUAUUCAUCAUUUGUUAUCCAUCCAUCAUCUAUUCACCCAUCUGGCAUGUGUGCAUGUAUGCAUGCAUCCAUCCAGCACCCAUGCAUCUAUUAAUCAUCUGUUAUCUAUCCAUCACCUAUCUACUAUCCAUUCACCCAGAAUGCAUGCAUCCGCCCAUCCAUCCAGCACCCAUGCAUCUGUCUAACCAUCAUUUAUCCACUCACCAUUCAUCUACUGCCUAUCCAUCAUCAUCUAUUCAUCCACCUAGAAUGUAUGUAUCCAUCCAGCCGUCCAGCCAGCACCUAUGCAUUAUCUAUUAUCCAUCCACCAUGUCUAUCCACCCACCCAUCCUUUCAUUAUCCACCAUGAAGAUCUGUGUGGAUGAGAAGCUAUAGAGCUUUCUCUGCUUAUCUACUGUAAGGGUAAACUGCAUCUGUGCCCUUUUAGUUAUGAGACUGGGUCCUCUAUCUCUUGUUCUCCGUGUGGCUGUGACUGACAACACUAAUAAUCCAGCAGUCCCCCUUUGGCCUAUGUUCGGCAGGAAGUACCACUCUGAGUGACACCUGUCCAGAAAUCACUGUAGGUACUGAGAGGCCUAUUAGCCACAGAGAGGAAGGACUCUAACUGAGGAAGACAGUCGUUGGAGGCUGGGCUGAGAGUGAGAGGUAAUUUUCACCUCCAAGGAUCAUGUUUGGAAGAAUGAAAAGGGUCUCUGCCUUUCUUUACACUCUGUUGUUAAAAUCCUUUGAAAGUUUGGCUUCCAGCGGGUGUGUGUUUGGGAGAGGUCAGUUCUCUGCAUGAGGCAUGCUGCCUUACUGAGUUUGGGUUUCUUUGCUUGUAAAUAAUAUCUCACACAUGGAUCAUUAUGGGAAAAAAAGGGUAUUUUACAGAAAUCAUUCUUUCCACAUUACUUAAUUUGCUUCUUGUGGUGGUCUGAAUAUGCUUAGCCCAGGGAGUGUCACUACUAGGAGGUGUGGCCUUGUUGGAGGAAGUGUGUCACUCUUGGGAUAGGCCUUGAGACCCUUCUCCUUGCUGGCUGUGAGACAGUCUUCUCUUGUUUGUUUUUGGAACAAGAUGUAGAGCUCUCAGCUCCUCCAGUGUCAUUCCUGCCUGUACUCUGCCAUGCUUCCCACCAGGAUGACAAUGAACUGAACCCAAGAAUCUGUAAACCAGCCCCAAUCAAAUGUUGUCCUUUAUAAGAGUUGCUUUGGUCAAGGUGUCUCUUUCCACCUUGUCAUUUCUGAUCUUAGUAAAACUGUGACCAGGAUGGAAGUUCUAGAGGAUCCCUGUCAAGAUCUU